rnacentral:rRNA from 1 species
CGCCUGUUUAUCAAAAACAUGUCUUUUAGGAUUAAUUUGAAGUCGUAUCUGCCCACUGAUAUGUAUUGAGGGCACUCGCCUGUNNACAAAAACAUUUCUAUUAGGUAUAAUUAAUAGUAUAGUCUGCUCAAUGUUAGUAAAUAGCCGCAAUAUGUGCUAAGGUAGUGUAAUAAUUUGUCUUUUAAUUGAAGACCAAAUGAAAGAUUUAACAUUUUGAUUUAUUUUUUUAAAUAAAAACAUUUAAAUUAUUUUAAUUGUAAAAAAACAAUUAUAAUGGAAAAAGACGAUAAGACCCUAUUGAACUUAACUUAAGUUAAGCUGGGGUAGCUAAAUAAUUAUUAACUUAGUUAAAUUAAUUUGAAAUAUGACCUAAUAAAAUUAACUUUUAAAUUAAGUUACCAUAGGGAUAACAGUGUAAUUAAUUUUGUAAGAUCUUAUUUUAAAAAUAGAUUACAACCUCGAUGUUGAAUUAAUAAUCUAAUUUACGCA